GAUGAACGCUGGCGGUCUGCUUAACACAUGCAAGUCGAACGCAACCUUCGGGUUGAGUGGCGGACGGGUGAGUAACGCGUGAGAAUCUGCCUUGGGGUCGGGGACAACCACUGGAAACGGUGGCUAAUACCGGAUAAGCCUUUGGGUAAAAGAUUUAUUGCCCCAAGAGGAGCUCGCGUCUGGUUAGCUAGUUGGUGAGGUAAGAGCUCACCAAGGCAGCGAUCAGUAGCUGGUCUGAGAGGACGAUCAGCCACACUGGGACUGAGACACGGCCCAGACUCCUACGGGAGGCAGCAGUGGGGAAUUUUCCGCAAUGGGCGAAAGCCUGACGGAGCAAGACCGCGUGAGGGAGGAAGGCUCUUGGGUUGUAAACCUCUUUUCUCAGGGAAGAAGCUCUGACGGUACCUGAGGAAUCAGCCUCGGCUAACUCCGUGCCAGCAGCCGCGGUAAUACGGAGGAGGCAAGCGUUAUCCGGAAUUAUUGGGCGUAAAGCGUCCGCAGGUGGCGAUUCAAGUCUGCUGUCAAAGCACGGGGCUUAACUCCGUUAAGGCAAUGGAAACUGAAUAGCUAGAGUGCCGUAGGGGUAGAGGGAAUUCCCGGUGUAGCGGUGAAAUGCGUAGAGAUCGGGAAGAAACAUCGGUGGCGAAAGCGCUCUACUGGACGGCAACUGACACUCAGGGACGAAAGCUAGGGGAGCGAAUGGGAUUAGAUACCCCAGUAGUCCUAGCUGUAAACGAUGGAUACUAGGUGUAGCUUGUAUCGACCCGAGCUGUGCCGAA
rnacentral:rRNA from 1 species